rnacentral:rRNA from 1 species
UACGUAGGGUGCGAGCGUUGUCCGGAAUUAUUGGGCGUAAAGAGCUUGUAGGCGGUCUGUCGCGUCUGCUGUGAAAAUCCGGGGCUCAACCCCGGACUUGCAGUGGGUACGGGCAGACUAGAGUGUGGUAGGGGAGACUGGAAUUCCUGGUGUAGCGGUGAAAUGCGCAGAUAUCAGGAGGAACACCGAUGGUGAAGGCAGGUCUCUGGGCCACUACUGACGCUGAGAAGCGAAAGCAUGGGGAGCGAACAGG